UCAGAGCGAACGCUGGCGGCAGGCCUAACACAUGCAAGUCGAGCGGAUCCUUCGGGAUUAGUGGCGGACGGGUGAGUAACACGUGGGAACGUGCCUUUUGGUUCGGAACAACUCAGGGAAACUUGAGCUAAUACCGGAUAAGCCUUUCGAGGGAAAGAUUUAUCGCCAUUAGAGCGGCCCGCGUAGGAUUAGCUAGUUGGUGGGGUAAAGGCCCACCAAGGCUACGAUCCUUAGCUGGUCUGAGAGGAUGAUCUGCCACAUUGGGACUGAGACACGGCCCAAACUCCUACGGGAGGCAGCAGUGGGGAAUCUUGCGCAAUGGGCGAAAGCCUGACGCAGCCAUGCCGCGUGAAUGAUGAAGGUCUUAGGAUUGUAAAAUUCUUUCACCGGGGACGAUAAUGACGGUACCCGGAGAAGAAGCCCCGGCUAACUUCGUGCCAGCAGCCGCGGUAAUACGAAGGGGGCUAGCGUUGCUCGGAAUUACUGGGCGUAAAGGGAGCGUAGGCGGAUAGUUUAGUCAGAGGUGAAAGCCCAGGGCUCAACCUUGGAAUUGCCUUUGAUACUGGCUAUCUUGAGUACGGAAGAGGUAUGUGGAACUCCGAGUGUAGAGGUGAAAUUCGUAGAUAUUCGGAAGAACACCAGUGGCGAAGGCGACAUACUGGUCCGUUACUGACGCUGAGGCUCGAAAGCGUGGGGAGCAAACAGGAUUAGAUACCCUGGUAGUCCACGCUGUAAACGAUGAGUGCUAGUUGUCGGCAGGCAUGCCUGUCGGUGACGCAGCUAACGCAUUAAGCACUCCGCCUGGGGAGUACGGUCGCAAGAUUA
rnacentral:rRNA from 1 species